rnacentral:lncRNA from 1 species
AGAUCAGGGCAGUGUAGAAUGAAUUUGUUAAAGAAAGAGUGAUGACAAAAAUAAAACCAAAAACCUUAAAAUCCUUUAGGUCUGCAGAGAAAUGACUGUUAUAAGCAAAUUCUAUAUAAGCAUCAUUUCUGGAGUAUAUACCUGGAGAAUGUACCUUACGCUACAUCUGACACACUUUCAGCUAAUACUUUAAAACAUGUCAUUAAAUUAAAUCAUCUGCCCUGUUACUUAAAUGACCAGUUUUAAUGAACCUUUUCUCUCUUCCACAGGUUUUGUAUCGAUUUAGGGAGAAGGUCCAGGUUUCUGACAGACAGCUGAAAGCUCCACCACCUGACCUCCACCUUUCCCCAGCUGUCCCUCCAGACUCUGCCCAGAGGUCAAAGGGCACGAAGGUUGUGACGCCAGGAAGCAUGGUCCAAGCUGAGCUCCCUCCAGCUGUCGCCACGCCCACUCCCCAGCAGCAGCCAAUCAUAGCCUGCAGCCGCCUCGCUUCACCUGGCGUCCCUCUGCCCAGCCCCGCCCCUGUCCCUGUUGUCAACGGCAACAGCCACGCCCUACCUGCCACUGUUGUCCCGGUGACAGCCAGUAACGAGCUAAAGCCCUGCCCCUCCCCGUUUAGGAUGAAACCCGUCGCUGGUCUGCAGGAAAGGUAAGUGCGAAUGACUGGAAGGUGGAUGUUACAGGUGUGCUAGCCCCGCCCCCAUCCUCAUUAGUUAGGUCUGGAGCUUUUAUUAAU